UUUGAUUUGAUUUUUGGCUUGAUUGUGUGUUAGCUUUGCAUACUUGAAAAUCGAAUUGGAUGGUAGAGAAAAUAAAAAAGGUUGUCAGGUAAAUACAUCCUUAAAUUUUGUUUAACAUAUUGUGGAACUGCAAAAAAGUGGGGUACUAUUUCCACAAAUAAUGCACAGGAUCUGCUUCGUGCUUUUUCAUAUUUUAAAGUAUUUUUUUUUUUUUUUUUUUUUUAUCUAAAUGUAUUUUUCGUGUUAUUAUUAUUAUUAUUGUUAUUAUUAUUUAAAAGUCUACAUCUCAAAAAAAGGAUAAAAUUGUGAUUGGAACUUUUUAAUUGAAAUCUAUUUUCCAUCUCGAAUAGAAUCAUUGGAUGUGUUACGAGUCUGACAAGAGAAUUCAUACGAGAUAAUUGAGUUUGAUUAUUAGUCAUAUAUAUUAAUUUAAUUUUAUUAUUAUAUACAUUAUACUAAAAUCGACAAAUGUUUGCAUAACAUGACAAUCCUGUAAGAAAUAAUUAAAUUUAGAUUAAUGAUUUCAAUUCAAUUAUAUAUAAGGGUCAAUACGAAUUCGAUACAAUGAUAAAUAGAUCAGGUUCGGAUUAAGUGAUUUAAUCCGUUUAAAGUAUUCAAUCCGAUACAAAUAUGACAUAAAAACAAUGUAAUAAAAAACAAAAAAUGAAUACAUCCAUUUAUUGUUAAUAAAUACUCCAUCCGUUCCACAUAAUUUGUUCCUAUUUUUUAUUUUCGUGCGUCCCACAUAACUUGUCCUUUCUAUUUUUGAAAAUAUAAUUAUGCACUUUAAUCGCAUUUUAAAUUUUAAAUUUUAUAAUUUUUUUAAUUUUAAUUAAACUAUUUACUUAUCUUAAUCUUAAUUUAUAAUGAUUUUUAUUAAAUAAUAAUUAUUUUUACUAAUACACUUCUUAAUUAUUUACUAAUUAUAUUUUACCUAAAUUUUCGUAUCUAUAGUAAUAGUCUCAUAUUUUCUGGGAUGGAUGGAGUAUAGAAUAGUUGUACUAUUAGAUGUUGUGAAUACUUUUAGAUUUAAAAUAGUUUUUAUAUGAUAAAUUGUAUUAUGAAAAUUAAUAUAAUAAAUUUUUUAUUGAUAAUCAUGCCAAGUUUGAAAUGCAAAUCAAACACAUCCAAAUAUUUAUUCAAUUUUAAGUCAUACAAAUGAAAUGUAUUCAUUAUUUUAUUUAAAAUUUAACCAAUAAUUGAGACAAUGGCAUAUGUGAAAAUAUCUCAAAAGCUAGUCACAUGUGAUGUUGAAUUGAGCAGCAAAUCAAAAGAUCCAAACUACAUUUGUAUGUUGGUGAUUAGUUUGUAUUUAUUUACUUUAUAUAUAAAUAUAUGAUAUAAUUUAUCACAUUAAUUAUUUAUUCUUAUACAAACUAUUAAAUUUAUAAAAUUAUAUUACUCUCAAAAAAAAUAAAAAACAAUGCCUUGACGGGAAUUUCACCCAAAACAAGCCACCCACCCAGGAUUUAACUUGGGACCCAACCCUCAACGGAGAAAUGUUUCACCGCUUGAUCUACAAUAUGCAACUUUAUGCUUGUGUUUGUGUUUUUUUUUUUUAAUUUAAAAUAUUUAAAUAAUAAUUUAUUUAAUAUUUAUAAUAAUUAUAGGUUAAAUAUAUAUAUAUACACAAUAUAUAUGUUGUUAGUUUGUAGAAAUAAAAUUUUCUAUAAUACAAAUAAAUAAAAAUUUAAAAAUAUAUAUGUUAAUAUAACAUAAAUUUGUAAUCAAAUUAUACUGCUAUAAAUUUUAUUAAUUAAAUUUAAUACAUAUUUAUAUUAUUAUAUUCAUUACUUAUCAAAUCAAUACAUAUCAAAACUUUCCAAACCCAAACCACCGUCCUAAAAAACACACCAAUAGUCAUCACAAAACUACGAAUUUGUUCAGUCCUUACUAAUUUGAUCAAAUCAACACGCUAACUUAGCAAUCAAUAUUUUAUCACAAAAUUAUAAUAUUUCGUCACAAAAUUAUACUUAUCUAUCCGUUUGUUUUUGCACCAACUUUUAAAAAUAUUAAUAUUAUAUUAAGAUAUAAUAAAAAUAAAAAGACUAAAAUAAUACCCUUACUAAGAAGAUGAAUAUUUUGUUAUAAGACGAAUUAAAUAGAAAAUUGAAUAAAUUGUUAAAUUACAGAGGAAGUAUUAUAUAAUAUGUAUGCAUUAUAUUUUAUAUUAUGCCAUAUAAUAUUCUUAUUAUGUUAAAAUUACGAUAUAGUACAUUUUAUACAUAAAGUUUUGUAUACUUGUUGGUUGGUUUUUAUUCCUUAUUUUAUUAUUUUAACUUUUUUCUUUUCCUUUAAAAAUCUCAUAUCAAAUACCCAAUUUUUAUUUAUCUUAUUGCACUAAAAUCUAAAUUUAUAUUCAAAACAUCACAUCAAUACAUAUUUAUAUUAUAUAAAAAACUAUUCAAUUCAAGAUUUUACUAUUCAAAACCAAAACCAAAAAACAAUAACCUUACCAGUAAAAACAUCCUAUAUUAUAUACUCCUAUGUUUAGUCUUCUUUAUAAACAACAUAUAUUGAUUGAAUAAAAUCAAUACCAACUAAAAGGUUCAAUCUUAUACUCCCUCCGUACUGCUAACAUAUCGCAUAUUUUAUCCCCUCACAUCAUCCAAAUAAAAAAUAAAAUAUAUAUUUCACUCCAUCACAUCACUUCAUUUUUAAAAAACCCGUGCCAAAAUAAAAUGUUUAAAAUAUUGCACCUUGUAUGAGACGAAGGAAAAAUCAUUUUAUUUCUAAUAAAAAUCCACUAUAUACUUUUUUUUUUUUUUCCUUAAAACAUAUUCUAUAGUAUUUUUGAAAAUAUUAAAACACAUUCAUAAUAGAUUUACUACCAAUUCUAAGGCAAUUAACAAGACAAAUAUACCCAUCAAAUCACACAUUAACAAAAAGAGCAAAAAAGACCCCCAAAAAAACAGCAAAAACAAAAUGCCAUAUAAUCCAUCGA